UACGUAGGGUGCGAGCGUUGUCCGGAUUUAUUGGGCGUAAAGAGCUCGUAGGCGGUUUGUCGCGUCGGUCGUGAAAACUUGGGGCUUAACCCUGAGCUUGCGGUCGAUACGGGCAUGACUGGAGUUCGGUAGGGGAGACUGGAAUUCCUGGUGUAGCGGUGAAAUGCGCAGAUAUCAGGAGGAACACCGGUGGCGAAGGCGGGUCUCUGGGCCGAUACUGACGCUGAGGAGCGAAAGCGUGGGGAGCGAACAGG
rnacentral:rRNA from 1 species